rnacentral:rRNA from 1 species
AUUGAACGCUGGCGGCGUGCCUAACACAUGCAAGUCGAGCGGCAGCGCGGGAGCAAUCCUGGCGGCGAGCGGCGAACGGGUGAGUAAUGCUUCGGAAUCUGCCCAUGUAGUGGGGAAUAACCAGCCGAAAGGUUGGCUAAUACCGCAUACGACCUACGGGUGAAAGCAGGGGAUCGCAAGACCUUGCGCUAUUGGAUGAGCCGAAGUCGGAUUAGCAGUUGGUAGGGUAACGGCCUACCAAGGCGACGAUCCGUAGCUGGUCUGAGAGGACGACCAGCCACACUGGGACUGAGACACGGCCCAGACUCCUACGGGAGGCAGCAGUGGGGAAUAUUGGACAAUGGGGCAACCCUGAUCCAGCGACGCCGCGUGUGUGAAGAAGGCCUGCGGGUUGUAAAGCACUUUUAGU